UUGUAGCCUUUAUCUGCACCUUUGGGCUGUUGGGAGUCCAUACCACUUGAAGUGUGAAUAAUAGCUGGACACCCCCAUAGCGUGUGUCCGAACUCUCCCCGAGGCGCUUCUGAACUCCUCCACGCCAUGUCCCGUGAAGAGCGGUUCAGUACAUGAAAAAGUGAAGUAUAUAAAGGAACAGAGGUUGGUGCUUUCGAUUGUUACUUGGAUGCAUAAGCAAAAUAGAGUAAAAGGCAUAUGGGGAUAUAUUUAUGUGACUGGUAAAUAAGAAAAAUAAGUUCACAUUAUUAUUAUUAGCACUACUGUGCCCCUGUAGUUUUAUUUACGUGAGAUAUUUAGAAGCUACCUUUGUUUCUUCAAUCUUAAUAUUCAGUUUCUUGUCUCUUCUGGUCCUAACCAUAGUCUCUACAAACUAAGUAUAACCAUUGCACUGAUGCAGGUAUACUCUACCUUUUAUUCCAGGAAGUAAAUCUGACAAUACUUAGAGCUCUCUUAAGAUGGCGUUUGGGGUACUUGGUGGAGGUUCAACGAUGAUCUACACCCCGCGGAUCCGUUGGUGUCAACGUGUCAGCAUCAUAUACAUCAGGGAAGUGCAUCUAAUCCCACUGCAUCGUUCCUUAUUUAUAUCAGGGAAGUUCCAUUCUAUGAUUCAAGUUCUUUUUUGUCAGGGAGUUCACUUUUCUCUUGAGAUUCACUCCGUUUACUUUUAUAAAAAGGAAGUCCACCUAUUAAGGUAGAGUUGUUCGCUUAAAAGAUAAAUGAUAUUCCACUUUUAAAGGGAAUACCACGAAAACAGAUCUUGUUUUCUCCAGUUCUCUAUUGGUCUUUCAAAUUAGCCACACAGUUGAUGUAUAUUCCACUUUUUUAGUUUCAUGUAUUUCACUUUUGUUGGACAGUUCACUUUGCACAUAAGUGGAAGCUCAUGUACAUCGUGAAUGUUCAUUUCAUUCAUCUAUGAAACAAACUAAAUGGUCAUAGUGAGUUCAUUUGGUGUAAAAAGGGAAGUUCACUCUGCAAAUAAAAUGAAUUUCAUUUGAACAAAAUGCAUGUUACUGAAAUGGAGGCGCUCAGAGCAAUCUUGUUUUGCUAUAUAAAAGCAUUAUCUACUAUUUCUUUUGCUCUUGACCAUCUAUCACUGUUUACUAGUAUCCUUAUGCUGCCUUUUUUUCUGUAUAGCAGAGGAACACUACUUGAUCGAGCCUCCUAUGCUAUAUCUAAGAUGUGGAAUGUGCUAUAUCCAAGGACAUAAACAUGGUGCCAGCCCCGCCCUUCUUCCGGCUAGUGGACGCGGCUUGGCGGUCCCUCGGUGUCCAUGGCGUAGUCAAGCCCGACUGUCAUGCGGCGGGCGAGUCCGCUCCAGGAGAAUCACCAGGACGGACACAUUGUAGGCUGAGUGAAGUUUACUGAUACUAAUUCGUGGAGUUAACUUGUCCUAAUCGUGAAGUUCAGGUCUCCUAAUACUUCAUUGUAUACUAUUCCUGCUAGAUGGAUUUUUGCUAGAUGGAUUUUUUACUAGUUAGCAGCACCAUGAGGACCGCCCGCCACCAGCGUGUACUGCUGGUCCGCCGCCGCCAACAGCACCGGCGUCGCGUGAAUGAUGUGAUCGACGGUGUGCGUGGCACGCAAUGUGCACGACGUUAAUACUGAUGAAUCGAAUCAGCCAGAUUGGCAGAGCAAGUGCUAGUACAGAAGUUUCUGUGACUCUAGCUAGUUAACAGUAGAAGAAGAAGCUGAGCGUGAUUGCCAAGCAUGUGUGACUGCUCUUUCUACUUUGGUCUCAAGUCUGAUGACAUUUUGGUGUUUGAGCGUUCCUGCAACAUGCAUAAGCGUGUUUUGUACUUUGUCUAGUACUGUGUACUUCGUUUGAGCUGUAGUGUUCAAUUUUCCUAUCUGUGAA